rnacentral:rRNA from 1 species
GCAAGUCGAGGGGCAGCAUGAUUGAAGCUUGCUUCAAUUGAUGGCGACCGGCGCACGGGUGAGUAACACGUAUCCAACCUGCCGAUAACUCGGGGAUAGCCUUUCGAAAGAAAGAUUAAUACCCGAUAGUAUAGUAUUUCCGCAUGGUUUCACUAUUAAAGAAUUUCGGUUAUCGAUGGGGAUGCGUUCCAUUAGAUAGUUGGCGGGGUAACGGCCCACCAAGUCAACGAUGGAUAGGGGUUCUGAGAGGAAGGUCCCCCACAUUGGAACUGAGACACGGUCCAAACUCCUACGGGAGGCAGCAGUGAGGAAUAUUGGUCAAUGGACGAGAGUCUGAACCAGCCAAGUAGCGUGAAGGAUGACUGCCCUAUGGGUUGUAAACUUCUUUUAUACGGGAAUAAAGUGGAGUAUGCAUACUCCUUUGUAUGUACCGUAUGAAUAAGGAUCGGCUAACUCCGUGCCAGCAGCCGCGGUAAUACGGAGGAUCCGAGCGUUAUCCGGAUUUAUUGGGUUUAAAGGGAGCGUAGGCGGGUGCUUAAGUCAGUUGUGAAAGUUCGCGGCUCAACCGUAAAAUUGCAGUUGAUACUGGGCGCCUUGAGUGCAGCAUAGGUAGGCGGAAUUCGUGGUGUAGCGGUGAAAUGCUUAGAUAUCACGAAGAACUCCGAUUGCGAAGGCAGCUUACUGGACUGUAACUGACGCUGAUGCUCGAAAGUGUGGGUAUCAAACAGG